rnacentral:rRNA from 1 species
GACGAACGCUGGCGGCGUGCUUAACACAUGCAAGUCGAACGGUAAGGCCCUUCGGGGUACACGAGUGGCGAACGGGUGAGUAACACGUGGGUGAUCUGCCCUGCACUUCGGGAUAAGCCUGGGAAACUGGGUCUAAUACCGGAUAGGACCCUGGGAUGCAUGUCCUGGGGGGGAAAGCUUUUGCGGUGUGGGAUGGGCCCGCGGCCUAUCAGCUUGUUGGUGGGGUGGUGGCCGACCAAGGCGACGACGGGUCACCGGCCUGAGAGGGUGACCGGCCACACUGGGACUGAGAUACGGCCCAGACUCCUACGGGAGGCAGCAGUGGGGAAUAUUGCACAAUGGGCGCAAGCCUGAUGCAGCGACGCCGCGUGAGGGAUGACGGCCUUCGGGUUGUAAACCUCUUUCAGCACCGACGAAGCGCAAGUGACGGUAGGUGCAGAAGAAGGACCGGCCAACUACGUGCCAGCAGCCGCUGUAA